GACGAACGCUGGCGGCGUGCUUAACACAUGCAAGUCGAACGGAAAGGCCCUGCUUUUGUGGGGUGCUCGAGUGGCGAACGGGUGAGUAACCCGUGAGUAACCUGCCCUUGACUUUGGGAUAACUUCAGGAAACUGGGGCUAAUACCGGAUAGGAGCUCCUGCUGCAUGGUGGGGGUUGGAAAGUUUCGGCGGUUGGGGAUGGACUCGCGGCUUAUCAGCUUGUUGGUGGGGUAGUGGCUUACCAAGGCUUUGACGGGUAGCCGGCCUGAGAGGGUGACCGGCCACAUUGGGACUGAGAGACGGCCCAGACUCCUACGGGAGGCAGCAGUGGGGAAUAUUGCACAAUGGGCGGAAGCCUGAUGCAGCAACGCCGCGUGCGGGAUGACGGCCUUCGGGUUGUAAACCGCUUUCGCCUGUGACGAAGCGUGAGUGACGGUAAUGGGUAAAGAAGCACCGGCUAACUACGUG
rnacentral:rRNA from 1 species